rnacentral:tRNA from 1 species
GUAGAACAGCGGUUUUGCAUACCGCAGGCGGGAGUUCGAUUCUCCCUAGGUCCA